rnacentral:rRNA from 1 species
GCACUUCGGGAUAAGCCUGGGAAACUGGGUCUAAUACCGGAUAGGACCAUGAGAUGCAUGUCUUAUGGUGGAAAGCUUUUGCGGUGUGGGAUGGGCCCGCGGCCUAUCAGCUUGUUGGUGGGGUCACGGCCUACCAAGGCUCCGACGGGUAGCCGGCCUGAGAGGGUGUCCGGCCACACUGGGACUGAGAUACGGCCCAGACUCCUACGGGAGGCAGCAGUGGGGAAUAUUGCACAAUGGGCGCAAGCCUGAUGCAGCGACGCCGCGUGGGGGAUGACGGCCUUCGGGUUGUAAACCUCUUUCAGCAGGGACGAAGCGCAAGUGACGGUACCUGCAGAAGAAGCACCGGCCAACUACGUGCCAGCAGCCGCGGUAGUACGUGGGGUGCGAGCGUUGUCCGGAAUUACUGGGCGUAAAGAGCUCGUAGGUGGUUUGUCGCGUUGUUCGCGAAAUCUCACGGCUUAACUGUGAGCGUGCGGGCGAUACGGGCAGACUGGAGUACUGCAGGGGAGACUGGAAUUCCUGGUGUAGCGGUGGAAUGCGCAGAUAUCAUGAGGAACACCGGUGGCGAAGGCGGGUCUCUGGGCAGUAACUGACGCUGAGGAGCGAAAGCGUGAGGAGCGAACAGGAUUAGAUACCCUGGUAGUCCACGCCGUAAACGGUGGGUACUAGGUGUGGGUUUCCUU